rnacentral:rRNA from 1 species
ACCAGACUCCUACGGGAGGCAGCAGUGGGGAAUAUUGGGCAAUGGGCGCAAGCCUGACCCAGCAACGCCGCGUGAAGGAAGAAGGCUUUCGGGUUGUAAACUUCUUUUAAGAGGGAAGAGCAGAAGACGGUACCUCUUGAAUAAGCCACGGCUAACUACGUGCCAGCAGCCGCGGUAAUACGUAGGUGGCAAGCGUUGUCCGGAUUUACUGGGUGUAAAGGGCGUGUAGGCGGGACUGCAAGUCAGAUGUGAAAACCACGGGCUCAACCUGUGGCCUGCAUUUGAAACUGUAGUUCUUGAGUACUGGAGAGGCAGACGGAAUUCCUAGUGUAGCGGUGAAAUGCGUAGAUAUUAGGAGGAACACCAGUGGCGAAGGCGGUCUGCUGGACAGCAACUGACGCUGAGGCGCGAAAGCGUGGGGAGCAAACAGGAUUAGAUACCCCAGUAUU